GCAGUAAACUGACUAUCUAUUGUCCUCAUGGGCGCUUCGCUUUGUGGUGCGGCCAACUCUAAUCAUGCAAAUGCAGGCACCAGACUUCAUUAGCUCCUCAGGGCUAACGCUAAUCACACUACAGGAAGGCACAAGAGAGGAGGGGCUGCAGAGUACACAUAAACAGUCAGGCAUCGUCUGUGAGGUGCUGAUUUACAGAUCUACUGGCUGAUGGUAGUCUACAUGACAGGCCCAAGAGGACAUUUGCACAGACCUUUCGUACCUCAACAAUCUGUGCAGAUAAAGGUCAUCAGCACCAAAAGCUCAUGCAGUCUUAAACACAGCUCUGUCUGAAGUUGGAAAACAUGUGACCAUGGCGGUCUCCAUGAAAAUACUUCACUGACAGUCUUCAGGGUAAUACCAUGACUUUUGAUGUUUUUCUCCACAUAUUGAAUUCAGAGGACUUUAAAAGAAGCACAUUAUUCUCUGACAACUCGAGUCACUCCUGCUGAUGGAAGAAUAUAGGACAGUUAAAGAUGCCCGACAUAAAACUAACACUCUGCUUAGGCUUCUACUAUAAACCUUUAUUUGCAUUCAGGCAUUACACUGGUGAGAUACAAAAGGCUCUGGGAACCUUUGCUUUCUCUGAGCAAAAAUGUAUACACAUAAUUUUACUUUGAGCCUUUUUGUGAGUAGUUUGAUAUGUCCGCUCAUACCAUCAUGCAAAGCUAAAUUCUAUGUUUUUAAUGGUCAGUAUGCAGGUGAUAUACAAGAAACUAAGCAUUUCUACCAAUCUUUCCUUGGCUGUGUCAGGAGGAUGUGCAAAGAUGAAAGGUAAUGCAAAUGGAAGUGUCAUACAGCGAUUUCUAUUCCAGACUGCCACCUUAGAAAUAAUUAAGACAGUGGAAUGGAGGUAGCCCAGGUGAGACAUAGCGAUUCCUGUGAGUGAUUCUUGUUUUAAGACAGCAACCAACAUUUCACAACACUCUGUAAAUGUUACAACAGCUCUCAAUGUCCAUAAAAUGUAUGCAGUGGGUAUUCUAAUGUCAUUUUAGUCGCAUAAAGAGUAAUCAUUGUCAAGAAUAAAUAUAUAAAUAACAGCACACGAUGGAAAUUGAUGACGACUGUAAUGAUUAAAUUUCAACAUGUCAAAACAUGUAAAAUCCACAUGAAUUUGCAUUUCUUUUGUACGCUUUGUAGCCAAUGGCUGUGCUCCAGUAAAAAGCUAAUAAAUAUUCACUUAGAAUUUUACAAUCAUACAGAGCUAAAGAUGAAUGCAAAGUGGAUGAAAUGCAGAGGAUUCCAUGCUGUGUUGGAAUAUGGCGUGUGUAUUGUGGUGGCUUGCCAUAACCAUUUCGCAUAUCUUGCCAAAAAUAGUGGGUUUAUGCAAAUGGUUUCUCUUGAUGUGCACAUUGUCAUCGAUGCUAGCUAAUUACACAAUUUCCGAGCCUGAUUAUGCAAAAGCAGUUCUGGCGUAUUUGAAAAUGCAAGGUCGGCUUGCAAUCAAGCACGUUCCAGCAGACAUUUUAGGUCUAUGCCUUCCGCAUGCUCACCACUGCUAAAUUCUUUAAGAUGGUGGCACCUUGAAGGAAAUGCUACAGCGCUGACGGAGCCCAACCCACCUCCUCCUUACCCAGAGUCUGCAAUGCGAUUCUGGCCAGAUUGUGGGGCACACUUUGCCUACCCCACCUACCAGAUACAUUUUUAAUUCUUCACAUCACUAAUAAGGAUAUUAUGCAUAAAGUGUGGUGCUUCCGCUUGUAUGCAUUAAAGUCCACGCGCAUUAAAUUUGCAUAGAUGUGAGUUAUUCAAAUGUACGCAUGCUAACGUGCAGCUCUUACUCUUUGUUGUGCUACAUUACUGACACAUAUGAAAAAAAGCAUUCUUUUGAUUUUAAUUCAUACAUGAAGAAAAACAUUUAUUUUGCUACAAAAUUAAGUGGCCCAGCCUUUAUUUGAUUGAUUCAUCUAAACUAAACAAUAACAGUUUUAAUGUGUCAUUUGUUUUUUGCAAGAGGCCUGCUAUUAUGCAGAAUUUGAAUUAUAUUUUUUUACUCCUGAAAGAAAGAUUUACAAUGAAAUAUGUCCCAAAAGAGUCAUUAAAUGUUUUGAACAUUAAGUUAAGUGAGUAUUUAUAUUGGUUUAUUUAUCAAAUUUCCAUAACCUAGAUAUAGCAGCAGUGAUACAACUGAGAUUCUGCCAAUCAGCUACACUUUAACAGAACAAAACAUCACAGAUAGGCCUACAUUCUGUGUCAUUGCACUGUAAUUGGACAAAUCACUUCUGGUCAUAAAAUACCAUUUUAUAACUGGUAUAGCUAGCUCUGUGUAUUAACAAUUGAAGAGCUCAUAUGCAAAACCAUUCAAGUGUGUCUGACAUGUUUUCUUGUAAAUGAGCACUAUUUAUAAGACUUUUAAUGGUAUUUCUUUAUGACCUGUGGCUUGGAUUAAGCUAAUUUUAAGUGAAAGUAUUUGAUGAAUGUAUAAUAUGUGCAGACAACAUUUUGACAAAGGUGGCGUUUAGAGGGUUUUGCACACACCGAACUGAUGAACUGGAUGAAAAAUAAUGGCUGCUUUUUAUGAUAAAGGCGCAAAUAGUAAAUGCAAAUAAAUUAUAACUUCUAUUUUAAUUUGUGAGAAAAUGUAGGCUAUUUACUUGGCUAAACUGACUAUACUGAUAGCUACUCUAUAUCCACUAUCUUUUUUCAGAAGAUUAUUUCAAUUUACAGUCUGAUCUCAUCAUUCUGAUGAUACAGCAAUCUAAACUAAACAAUAUUACUGAGGAUUAUCGAUAAAAUGAAUCUUGAAACUAAGGAUAAAUUUGCUAUCAUGCUACAGGAUUAAUCUAUUUUAACAUAUUUUACUAGGUCUGUUAGCUUCACUGCAGAUGCUUUCAUGAAAGUGUGCAUUGAUUCUGUGCCCAUCUAAUAAACCAGGAUUCAGGAUACCAGACUGUUGUGUAACAUAACUAUAUUCAAAAUUACAGACCUAAGUAAAGCCAAAUGUGAAUGCAAAAUGCUCACAUAAAUUCAACACAGAGUGUACUGCUAUUACACUUAAAGAACCACAUGUAUUGGGGCUUCUCCUCUUACUAAUACAAAAGCACACAUAUAUAUAAAACAUGUCCUGCUUUUGCACACUGCCAUCAUACGCAUG